rnacentral:rRNA from 1 species
UACGUAGGGUGCGAGCGUUGUCCGGAAUUAUUGGGCGUAAAGAGCUUGUAGGCGGUUUGUCGCGUCUGCCGUGAAAAUUCGAGGCUCAACCUCGAACUUGCGGUGGGUACGGGCAGACUAGAGUGUGGUAGGGGAGACUGGAAUUCCUGGUGUAGCGGUGAAAUGCGCAGAUAUCAGGAGGAACACCGAUGGCGAAGGCAGGUCUCUGGGCCACUACUGACGCUGAGGAGCGAAAGCGUGGGGAGCGAACAGG